rnacentral:rRNA from 1 species
CCUACGGGUGGCAGCAGUGGGGAAUAUUGCACAAUGGGCGCAAGCCUGAUGCAGCCAUGCCGCGUGUGUGAAGAAGGCCUUCGGGUUGUAAAGCACUUUCAGCGGGGAGGAAGGCGGUGAGGUUAAUAACCUCAUCGAUUGACGUUACCCGCAGAAGAAGCACCGGCUAACUCCGUGCCAGCAGCCGCGGUAGUACGGAGGGUGCAAGCGUUAAUCGGAAUUACUGGGCGUAAAGCGCACGCAGGCGGUCUGUCAAGUCGGAUGUGAAAUCCCCGGGCUCAACCUGGGAACUGCAUUCGAAACUGGCAGGCUAGAGUCUUGUAGAGGGGGGUAGAAUUCCAGGUGUAGCGGUGAAAUGCGUAGAGAUCUGGAGGAAUACCGGUGGCGAAGGCGGCCCCCUGGACAAAGGCUGACGCUCAGGUGCGAAAGCGUGGGGAGCAAACAGGAUUAGAUACCCUAGUAGUC